rnacentral:lncRNA from 1 species
AGCUACUCACAUUCUUUAUUCGUGUGCCCAACUCUCUCUUUUCUAUGACAACGUUCUGUGAUCUAAGUGCAGCUUCCCUCUUAAGGUCUGAACACGAUGCAUCCAGUCUGUCUCUCGCAGUUCCUCUGAAGUCUUUUCCUGUGCAUUUUUCCCCUCCCCUGGAUGCUCAGUUCCCACCGGCUCCUUUUCUUGUUAUUCUUAGCACUCAGCUGUAAUAUUAAAGGAUGGAGUUUACCAGGCAGGGUGCUUGAAUGGUUUGCAAACAUCUAAUGCUUAGGAAGGGCUGAUGGUACUGCUCACUGCAAAGGCGUUAUCUUGUCAAGGUGACACGGGCAGGGAGGGUACCAGAAUCCCACACGUCAAGGCCACCUGGAUUUCUCUCUAGAGAGCAAACCCGAGUGACAAGGAACACGUGUCCCCUCUUGCAUGUUGCUUAUGGUUAGCCUAAUACUUGCCAUAUGAUAACUUGUCAGUACGUCAGGUCUUUUCUGACCUGUCUGCGUAGUCCUUUAUGACACGUUCAUACCGUACUCGCACCCACACUUGCAGGUUUGCAUGUAGAAAUAUGCAGUGUUUUUACUGAGCCCAGUCCCUGAGGUUAAGCUCACUCAGGGCCAGGGCUUUGUCUCACAGACUGCCCUUUGUGGAACAGGCCAGCCAGCAGCACCUAGCCCAUCAUUCUGCUCACAAGUCACUGCAGUAAUAACGGACUCUCUAGGUUAGGGUUAAACACUUGGCUUGCUGCCUGUCUCGGGUUUCCCAUCGACUCCCAUCUUUUCUGUCUCCUUAUUCCUCCUCCUGUAAUAAGCAUCUUAUUUAAAAUGUGCUUGGCACUUUUUAGAGUAGCAGCAGAAUUAAGCUCUUUGGGCAGGAAUUUCUUAGAUCCCUGUUUGUUUGCUUUAUGGUUCCUGCUGUAGUAUGUUGUUUUGUUAGAGGACAUCCUUAAUAACUGUUUCUGACUGCAAUAAAUGAAUCUGUCUAUUGGUAUCCUAGCAACCAGAGUGGAAUCUUUUGUCUUAGUAGGAGAUGUUAAUGACCCUCACCCUUAGGGUUUUCUCCACUUAAGUUAAAAAUAGUGGUCAGAAACAGAUCCGCUAAACCUAAGGCAGUUUUUGCCAUGAAGCAAAAUGGCACAGAAAAGAACCCACUGACUUUUUGAGUAAUUUUCACUAUUCCUUAACAAAAGUAGAAUAUUGAUAACCUAAAUUAUCCUGUGAAAAAUGGAAACAUUCAGUCAUGAAAAAAAAAUCACUGUCUUAAUAGGGAGAAAACAGAAAAGUAUGUGCAUGUGUAUUCUAAGUCAAAAUAUGACUGUAAUGGGAAAUCUUUGUAGAAUACUCCCAAAUGAAUGUGCAAUUAGGCAAUUUACUUUCUAAAUGAGAUUUAUAGAGAGUUGUUUGCAUUUUCUGCAGCAACAAUUUAAAACAAGCUUUGGCUCAGUAGUUUGUUUCAUCAGUGGAUUUAUGUCUGUUGGGAAUAGAAAUAUUUGAAAUAAGAUUUUAAAACAAGUCCUAUAUUUGUCCCCUAACAAAGAAUUUAUGGUGUUUAUAUAUACAUGCAUACUUAGACACACACACACACACACACACACACACACACACACACGUACAUUCUUUUCUUUUCAGGCCGAGUUAGUAUUAGCAGAUAAGACAAGGUAAAUUUUAAAAAAGACCAAAACAGUAUUUUAAUAAAUUUCCUAAUUAAGUCUCCUUCCAGGCCACAAGGAUAUAUGUCAUACAAUAUUGAAAUGGUUUACAAGAAUUAAAACAAAAAUAGGAAAGAAAUUGUUAGGCAUAGGCUGAUAACUUUGUACUGUUAUGGAUUUGAAAAGUUUCGAAUCAUAGACCAUGAAAUUAAAUAUGAGUUGAUGGAUAUAUGUUCAUGUUAUAGUUAAUAAGCUGAUUAGAACACAAUUACAGCACCUUUGUAUCUACAAUCUUAAUUCUUUACUUCCCACUAGCUAACCUGCCAAAAUAUUUAGUUGAUUUUCCUUCAAAGAAAUCACAGUGUUUGGAGGAAAGAUAAGGAAUACUGAAUGGGAGGCUGAACAGCAUAUUGUCAAUGAAGCAGUUUAUAAAAUGAACAUUAGAGGAACCCCUCGUGGUGUGGCUCUAAACAGUAGGGAGAGCUAGUGCCUCAGGUAAAACUGUAUAACAGUUUUCUUUUAUAUGCAGAGCAUUUAUAGCUCUUUGG